rnacentral:misc_RNA from 1 species
GAUGAAGAAGUAGCGAAAUGCGAUAAGUAAUGUGAAUUGCAGAAUUCAGUGAAUCAUCGAAUCUUUGAACGCACAUUGCGCCCAUUAGUAUUCUAGUGGGCAUGCCUGUUCGAGCGUCAUUAAGUCCACUUAAGCCCUGCUUAGUGUUGGGAGACUGCUCCAGCGGUGCUACCCUGUAGCUACCCUGCAGCUCCUCAAAGACAGCGGCGGAGUUGUGGUAUCCUCUGAGCUUAGUAACUUGUUCUAGCUUUCGAGUACACCACUUCCCCUGCCGUAAAACCCUUAAUUUUUAAUGGUUGACCUCGGAUCAGGUAGGAAUACCCGCUGAACUUAAGCAUAUCAAUAAGCGGAGGA